GCCUGCCCGGUGACCAUGAGUUUAACGGCCGCGGUAUUCUGACCGCGCAAAGGUAGCGUAAUCACUUGUCUUCUAAAUAAAGACUAGUAUGAACGGCCACACGAAGACUUGACUGUCUCCCUAGUCCAAUCAGUGAAACUAAUCUCCUCGUGCAGAAGCGAGAAUACACCCAUUAGACGAGAAGACCCUAUGGAGCUUUAAACUCAAUAUUAAUUAUAUUUAACUCUUCUCUAAGGAACUAACAACUUUUUUAACUUAAUAUUAGUUUUAGGUUGGGGCGACCAUGGAGAAAAAAAUAUCCUCCCUGAUGAUUUUCUAACCAAGAGCUACAGCUCUAAGUAUUAAGACCCUUAACUCCCAUUGACCCAUUUUAUGAUCAACGAACCAAGUUACCCUAGGGAUAACAGCGCAAUCCAUUUCAAGAGUUCCUAUCGACAAAUGGGUUUACGACCUCGAUGUUGGAUCAGGGCAUCCUAGUGGUGCAACCGCUACUAACGGUUCGUUUGUUCAACGAUUAAAGCCCU
rnacentral:rRNA from 1 species